CUGUAAGCCUGUGAAGGUGUACUGUGAGGUAUGCUGGAGGUAUCAGAAGUGCGAAUGCUGACAUAAGUAACGAUAAAGCGGGUGAAAAGCCCGCUCGCCGGAAGACCAAGGGUUCCUGUCCAACGUUAAUCGGGGCAGGGUGAGUCGACCCCUAAGGCGAGGCCGAAAGGCGUAGUCGAUGGGAAACAGGUUAAUAUUCCUGUACUUGGUGUUACUGCGAAGGGGGGACGGAGAAGGCUAUGUUGGCCGGGCGACGGUUGUCCCGGUUUAAGCGUGUAGGCUGGUUUUCCAGGCAAAUCCGGAAAAUCAAGGCUGAGGCGUGAUGACGAGGCACUACGGUGCUGAAGCAACAAAUGCCCUGCUUCCAGGAAAAGCCUCUAAGCAUCAGGUAACAUCAAAUCGUACCCCAAACCGACACAGGUGGUCAGGUAGAGAAUACCAAGGCGCUUGAGAGAACUCGGGUGAAGGAACUAGGCAAAAUGGUGCCGUAACUUCGGGAGAAGGCACGCUGAUAUGUAGGUGAAGCGACUUGCUCGUGGAGCUGAAAUCAGUCGAAGAUACCAGCUGGCUGCAACUGUUUAUUAAAAACACAGCACUGUGCAAACACGAAAGUGGACGUAUACGGUGUGACGCCUGCCCGGUGCCGGAAGGUUAAUUGAUGGGGUCAGCGCAAGCGAAGCUCUUGAUCGAAGCCCCGGUAAACGGCGGCCGUAACUAUAACGGUCCUAAGGUAGCGAAAUUCCUUGUCGGGUAAGUUCCGACCUGCACGAAUGGCGUAAUGAUGGCCAGGCUGUCUCCACCCGAGACUCAGUGAAAUUGAACUCGCUGUGAAGAUGCAGUGUACCCGCGGCAAGACGGAAAGACCCCGUGAACCUUUACUAUAGCUUGACACUGAACAUUGAGCCUUGAUGUGUAGGAUAGGUGGGAGGCUUUGAAGUGUGGACGCCAGUCUGCAUGGAGCCGACCUUGAAAUACCACCCUUUAAUGUUUGAUGUUCUAACGUUGACCCGUAAUCCGGGUUGCGGACAGUGUCUGGUGGGUAGUUUGACUGGGGCGGUCUCCUCCUAAAGAGUAACGGAGGAGCACGAAGGUUGGCUAAUCCUGGUCGGACAUCAGGAGGUUAGUGCAAUGGCAUAAGCCAGCUUGACUGCGAGCGUGACGGCGCGAGCAGGUGCGAAAGCAGGUCAUAGUGAUCCGGUGGUUCUGAAUGGAAGGGCCAUCGCUCAACGGAUAAAAGGUACUCCGGGGAUAACAGGCUGAUACCGCCCAAGAGUUCAUAUCGACGGCGGUGUUUGGCACCUCGAUGUCGGCUCAUCACAUCCUGGGGCUGAAGUAGGUCCCAAGGGUAUGGCUGUUCGCCAUUUAAAGUGGUACGCGAGCUGGGUUUAGAACGUCGUGAGACAGUUCGGUCCCUAUCUGCCGUGGGCGCUGGAGAACUGAGGGGGGCUGCUCCUAGUACGAGAGGACCGGAGUGGACGCAUCACUGGUGUUCGGGUUGUCAUGCCAAUGGCACUGCCCGGUAGCUAAAUGCGGAAGAGAUAAGUGCUGAAAGCAUCUAAGCACGAAACUUGCCCCGAGAUGAGUUCUCCCUGACUCCUUGAGAGUCCUGAAGGAACGUUGAAGACGACGACGUUGAUAGGCC
rnacentral:rRNA from 1 species